GACGAACGCUGGCGGCGUGCUUAACACAUGCAAGUCGAACGGAAAGGCCUGCUUUCCCUUGUGGAUUGCGGGUACUCGAGUGGCGAACGGGUGAGUAACACGUGAGUGAUCUGCCCCCAACUUGGGUAUAAGCCUGGGAAACUGGGUCUAAUUCCCGAUAGGACUGCAGGGUGGUGCCUGUGGUGGAAAACGAUUUUCUAGUGGUUGGGGAUGAGCUCGCGGCCUAUCAGCUUGUUGGUGGGGUAAUGGCCUACCAAGGCGGCGACGGGUAGCCGGCCUGGGAGGGUGGACGGCCACAUUGGGACUGAGAUACGGCCCAGACUCCUACGGGAGGCAGCAGUGGGGAAGAUGGCACAAUGGGCGGAAGCCUGAUGCAGCGACGCCGCGUGGGGGAUGACGGCCUUCGGGUUGUAAACUCCUUUCGACCGCGAGGAAGCCACCUGGUUGGAAGGGUGGUGACGGUAGUGGUAGAAGAAGCACCGGCUAACUACGUG
rnacentral:rRNA from 1 species